AUUAUUUACAACAAAUACAACGUUUAAUAGCCGUUAACUAUUCUCAAUAUUUACUAUGUAUAAUAAUUUAGAAUAAAUUUCUAGAGAGUUCUUGAAAAUUCGAAUUGCGCGUGACUUCACGCGCCCUUAAAAUUUUCUCCCAAAUAUUUUUUUUCUGCGAUAAACCUAGAUUUCACGAUUCUGCCUCUCCGGUCACCGGCGUUCCUUGCCAGUACCGUGAGAGGGCUCCCUGUUGUUUAUCUUCCUUCUUUGUAGCGUUGUUUGUUUGCUCCGAUGGUGGUGGCUUGGAUCUUCUCCUUUAUCUGAAGCCUCGUGUUGGUGGUAAGCCGUCGCGUGGAAAGAGAAUACUCACCAAGGGGGUUGAGUUGCCGUCUCUGUGGCUGCUUGAGGACGUCGGCUUGAGUGUUCUACGGUGUCUCUCGUGGGUCUUGGGGGGGGAACGACUUUCUCUCGUGCGACCGUUCUAGAUCUAGUCUUAGAUCUUGGUUUAUGGUGGCUUUGAUGUGGUGUGGGAGCAACUCAGUUUCCUUACGGGGUUGGGCUUGUGGCGUCUCUAGACUCCGGUAUAGCUAGCCGGUCUCUUCUCGCCUUUCUUCCUUUUCAGUUGGUGUUGAUCCAGUUCCUUAGUUGCCCUGCGGUGCUUCUGUUUGUUGGUGUCACUCUCGGUCUCUCCUCCAUCGGUUCUCCUGCUUCCAGUUACUGAGAUUGAGGAUUUUGGUUGUUCUUGUGGCGGUUAAGCUCGCCGUGGGUGGGUUUUUUUUUUGGGUUAACGUUUUUGGAGGUCUAUGUUAUACCCGAGUGGAGUCUCAUGAGAAGAAUAGAGGCAGCGCUUUGGUCUAGGUGGCAUUACUUAUCCGUGGGAGAUGGUUCCUGUUGUUUGGAAUAGGAAUGGUGAACGAAGGUGGUUUCUCUGGUUGCCCGUAGAUGCUCAUGUAACCGUCGGGUUUGUGCGUUAGUCCGCUUUUGUCAUUGUGUUUUUGUGUUAGUUUGCGGAGAAGUUGUAGGCGCCUUAUCCGGAGGUUUUGAAGGCUGGCCUCAUUUAGGAUUUGGUUUGCUCGUGGCAACUAGGAUGGGACUAUGGAAAUCACACAAAUUUCCGAGUUUGGCAUCUCAGAAUCGGUGUUUUCUCUUUUGUUUUCGAUCGGAUUAACGUGUUUCUCUAUUGCUGUUUUUGUUGUCCGUUUAUUCUGUAGUUUUUUGUUUUUUUUUUGCUACUUGUGUUCAUUGUAAUUUCUGUCAAAACUCGAAAAUGGUAGAAAUACUU